rnacentral:lncRNA from 1 species
GUCAGUGAAAUGGUGAUGUCUCUUUCCGUUUACUCUAAAUUUAUCUCCCCUAUUAACCGAGACAACAAUCGAGUUCAUUUCGUUUCGCAGUGUCUUCGAACGUUAGUGCCUGAUGUAAUACUCGAUGGUGAGUCAGCCACUUCCUCUCCUAGACAAACUUUUUGCUCGGAAAUCUAUAAGAUGAUUGGUAGAAAUCAAAUAUCAAGAAUUGCAUGGCUGAUAUGAAGGCACAGCAUAAGCAUGUUGUGACUGAUCUAGUGAAUUUUGUAAUUUUUUUUAACUCUAUGUAUAAACUAAUCUCCCCUUUUCAGAAUUUUUUCAAAAAAUUUCCUUGACUUAUAUACCAGUUUAUAUAAUAUUUUUAAAAACUUGAUCUGAUGAUGAAUUGAUAAGGAAAAACUUUUUUAUAAUUAUUAUUUAUUAACUCAUACUUGAAAUUAUGGAUCAAACUAACUAGGUGUUGUGCUGAUCAGUUUAUGCUAUAUUUUUUAUGAAACAUGGAUAGGUUGGACUAAACAGGAAGGAAUAUAAUGUUCAUAAAAAAUAAAAGCAAUAUGUAAUAGGC